rnacentral:misc_RNA from 1 species
GUGAAUCAUCGAAUCUUUGAACGCACAUUGCGCCCGCCAGUAUUCUGGCGGGCAUGCCUGUCUGAGCGUCAUUUCAACCCUCAUGCCUCCGGGCGUGGUGUUGGGGAUCGGCCUUCAGCCCCCUCGGGGGCGUGGCCGGCCCCUAAAUCUAGUGGCGGACCCGCUGUGGCCUCCUCUGCGUAGUAGUGAUACCCCGCACCGGAAAGCAGCGAGCCCCUGCCGUAAAACCCCAACUCUUCUAAGGUUGACCUCAGAUCAGGUAGGAAUACCCGCUGAACUUAAGCAUAUCAAUAAGCGGAGGA